rnacentral:rRNA from 1 species
UGUUGGUAUCUUAGUGGCGGACGGGUGAGUAACGCGUGGGUAACCUGCCUUACACUGGGGGAUAACACUUAGAAAUAGGUGCUAAUACCGCAUAACAGGGAAAGAUGCAUGUCUUUUCCUUAAAAACUCCGGUGGUGUAAGAUGGACCCGCGUCUGAUUAGCUUGUUGGCGGGGUAACGGGCCCACCAAGGCGACGAUCAGUAGCCGGCCUGAGAGGGUGAACGGCCACAUUGGGACUGAGACACGGCCCAAACUCCUACGGAAGGCAGCAG